rnacentral:rRNA from 1 species
UGGGGAAUAUUGGACAAUGGGGGAAACCCUGAUCCAGCGACGCCGCGUGAGUGAAGAAGUAUUUCGGUAUGUAAAGCUCUAUCAGCAGGGAAGAAAAUGACGGUACCUGACUAAGAAGCCCCGGCUAACUACGUGCCAGCAGCCGCGGUAAUACGUAGGGGGCAAGCGUUAUCCGGAUUUACUGGGUGUAAAGGGAGCGUAGACGGCACUGCAAGUCUGGAGUGAAAGCCCGGGGCUCAACCCCGGGACUGCUUUGGAAACUGUGGUGCUGGAGUGCAGGAGAGGUAAGUGGAAUUCCUAGUGUAGCGGUGAAAUGCGUAGAUAUUAGGAGGAACACCAGUGGCGAAGGCGGCUUACUGGACUGUAACUGACGUUGAGGCUCGAAAGCGUGGGGAGCAAACA